rnacentral:rRNA from 1 species
GAUGAACGCUGGCGGCGUGCCUAAUACAUGCAAGUCGAGCGAUCGGACGAGAAGCUUGCUUCUCUGAUGUUAGCGGCGGACGGGUGAGUAACACGUGGAUAACCUACCUAUAAGACUGGGAUAACUUCGGGAAACCGUAGCUAAUACCGGAUAAUAUUUUGAACCGCAUGGUUCAUAAGUGAAAGACGGUAUUGCUGUAACUUAUAGAUGAAUCCGCUUUCUUUGAGCAGGUUGUUAGGUAACGGCUUACCAAGGCAAAAAUGCAUAGCCUACCUGAGAGGGGGAUCGCCCACCUUGGAACGGAGCCACGGUCCAAACUCCUACGGAGGGAGGCAGAAGGGAAUCUCCCGCAGUGGGCGAAAGCCUGACGGAGCAACGCCGCUUGAUUGAUGAAGGUCUUCGGAUCGUAAAACUCUGUUAUUAGGGAAGAACAGAUGUGUAAGUAACUGUGCACAUCUUGACGGUACCUAAUCAGAAAGCCACGGCUAACUACGUG